rnacentral:sRNA from 1 species
CAGCUGCUCCUCCCAACUGCUCUGCUACUUCUAGUUUCAGCUGGCAUGCGGACUGAAGAUCUCCCAAAGGCUGUGGUGUUCCUGGAGACUCAAUGGUACAGGGUGCUCGAGAAGGACAAUGUGACUCUGAAGUGCCAGGGAGCCUACUCCCCUGAGGACAAUUCCACACAGUGGUUUCACAAUGAGAGCCUCAUCUCAAGCCAGGCCUCGAGCUACUUCAUUGCCGCUGCCACAGUCUACGACAGUGGAGAGUACAGGUGCCAGACAAGCCUCUCCACCCUCAGUGACCCGGUGCAGCUAGAAGUCCAUAUCGGCCCUUUCCCGACCAUGACUUCAUGUUCUCUCUUUGUGAAGUCUGAUUACUUGGUGACAUGAUCGUGAGAAUAAGCUCUGGCGAUAUAAGAAUUUCCUCUCUUGAAGGCCAUGCUCAGUAAUAAAGUUGGUCUCACUGAGGCCCUGUGACACCUCAGAAACCACGAAUUGCCACGCUGAGCAAUACCAGUCACGCCCUUCCCCUCCCUGAUGUUUACAUUGAGUUCUCCUUCACAAUUUCUGCAGCCACUCCGUGGCCACCGUCACCUUAUUCCUGACUGCCACAAGAGUCUUUCAAUAUUC